ACGGGCCCGAGGCACGAUCUGCCCUCCUGUUGGCCGGUAAUGACGGCCUGUGCCAAAGUCUGAAUCUCCGCCUUUAAAAGGUCCCCUCCUGUCUGCAUUAAUUGUGACCCUGGCCGUAAUCUCGGUAUCAUUUCUCCUCCAGUGCGCACUCCUCUCGAUUUGGGCCUAAAAUGCCGUUUUGCAAAUAACCCCACACUGCUCACGCCUAGCCGGACUCACCACCCUGCCAAUUCAAACGUACUACUGCCACCUCCUGGCCGACAUCUGAAUUGCAACGGUAGAGCCUAGGGCCGGAAUCACAGCAUGGCUAAUCGCAGCUCAGUGCCGCUUCCCGAUAUCCUUAACAAUUUAUCGCCCUGCAAAAAGAAGUCCAGCUCGGACCUAACUGAGAAAUUUGCAAAUCCGCACUCAAUGCGGCCACGAUUUAACCUCGAUCCUCCUCAGCGACAGGCUGUAACGUGAAGUCCGUGGCUGGAAUUUCAACCCCGUUCGUUGCACAUCAAUCCUUUCCACCCUCAGUCACGUGGGCCGAAUUCAUUUUGAGCACGGGGGUGAACGACACGCUCAGAGCUCGGGCUUACAGGCUUAGAUGCGAGAGGGCUCUGAAAUGGUGUUAACGGCAAAAUAUGGAUGUGUUUUGAAGAACUCUACCCCAAGAGCCUUAAUGGCGAUUCACGGUGAAAUAAGGGAAGGAAGCAACCUUCACAAGGAGGCUAGGAUUCUCACCAUCAUUACCAAGUGGGGUCUCCUGCGGUAAGAAAUGGAUGAGCUCUGAUCCCGUCUCGAAGGCUUUGGGACGACGGAUCUGCCUGAAGGGAUUGACUCUACUGCUAGCGUCCUGAGCAGAGCCACUCGCUUUCUCUCGCCCCCUGCCAGGUGGGUUUCCAUGGGGACGCGGAGUGCGGCAAACCAACGGACAUGGGUGCGGCCCGCACACUGAGAAGCUGGAGAGAAUUUCACAUUCAAAACUCACAGGCCUCACCAAGCACCCAUAUGUGAAUGGUAUUGGACCUGUCUGGGAUGUAUGAAGCAAUUUACACAGGCCUGGCUCCUGCCCUUUUUAAGGCCCUGCAGUCUAAAACAGCUAAUGACAUGGGCAGAUAUAAAUGACUGGACAUGAAUAAAGUAAUGUGCAUUUAUUUACCUGCUUUAGCAUCUGUGGUUACGUACUGGGUCGUGCACUCUCACUUCCACUCCAGCAGAGCUUGGGGAAAGGGCUCUUUGUUCGAAGGAAAUAGCAUACAUCAAGAUGCAGGGUCUGGACUAGAAAAACCAUAAAAGGAACAGCAAGAAAUAUAAUCAGUGCUAUUUACCGGGAGCUUACUGUGUGCAAAUUUAGUGUCAAAGUGGAGGUAAUUGGUGAAGGGGGAUGAAAGGGGGGGCAGUGCCGGCAAGACCAGACACGGAGUAGCUAGUGGGGAUAAGGAGGAGAGAGUUUGGGACAGGCCUUGUAAUAAA
rnacentral:lncRNA from 1 species